UACGUAGGGUGCGAGCGUUAAUCGGAAUUACUGGGCGUAAAGCGCGCGCAGGCGGUUGUGCAAGACAGGUGUGAAAUCCCCGGGCUUAACCUGGGAACUGCACUUGUGACUGCACGGCUAGAGUACGGUAGAGGGGGAUGGAAUUCCGCGUGUAGCAGUGAAAUGCGUAGAUAUGCGGAGGAACACCAAUGGCGAAGGCAAUCCCCUGGACCUGUACUGACGCUCAUGCACGAAAGCGUGGGGAGCAAACAG
rnacentral:rRNA from 1 species